UACGUAGGGUGCAAGCGUUAUCCGGAUUUAUUGGGCGUAAAGCGUACCGUAGGCGGUUUUGUAAGUAUGUGGUCAAAGCCUGGGGCUCAACUCCAGAGAGGCUACGUAAACUACUUAACUAGUGGAUUAGAGAGGUUGUCGGAAUUCUCGGUGGAGGGGUGAAAUCCGUUGAUAUCGAGAGGAACACCAAUGGCGAAGGCAGACAACUGGCUAAUUCCAGACGCUGAUGGACGAAAGCUAGGGUAGCAAAGCGG
rnacentral:misc_RNA from 1 species